rnacentral:rRNA from 1 species
UACGGAGGGGGCUAGCGUUGUUCGGAAUUACUGGGCGUAAAGCGCACGUAGGCGGAUCAGUCAGUUAGAGGUGAAAGCCCAGGGCUCAACCCUGGAACUGCCUUUAAUACUGCUGGUCUGGAGUCCGAGAGAGGUGAGUGGAAUUCCGAGUGUAGAGGUGAAAUUCGUAGAUAUUAGGAAGAACACCGGUGGCGAAGGCGGCCCACUGGAUCGGUACUGACGCUGAGGUGCGAAAGCGUGGGGAGCAAACAGG